UACGUAGGGUGCAAGCGUUAAUCGGAAUUACUGGGCGUAAAGCGUGCGCAGGCGGUUCUAUAAGACAGAUGUGAAAUCCCCGGGCUCAACCUGGGAACUGCAUUUGUGACUGUAGAGCUGGAGUACGGUAGAGGGGGAUGGAAUUCCGCGUGUAGCAGUGAAAUGCGUAGAUAUGCGGAGGAACACCGAUGGCGAAGGCAAUCCCCUGGGCCUGUACUGACGCUCAUGCACGAAAGCGUGGGGAGCAAACAGG
rnacentral:rRNA from 1 species